rnacentral:misc_RNA from 1 species
GUAGGUGAACCUGCGGAUGGAUCAUUAACAGUAUUAUUCUAUACUUUAACACUUGUGAACCGUAUGAGAGUCUUUCUCUCAAUUUAUUAUACUAUUAGACUGAAACCACUUUAUAUAACAAUUAUAAAACUUUUAGCAACGGAUCUCUGGGCUCUC